rnacentral:misc_RNA from 1 species
AAGUCGUAACAAGGUUUCAGUAGGUGAACCUGCGGAAGGAUCAUUAACACGUAUCCAAACGUUAAAAACCCCCCCCGUGAACAUUCAAUCCUGCUCUUGUAACCCGCGUAGUUCGCAAUCUCUGGUAAAUCAUAGCCCGGAAAGUAGUUUUGAUUCAGAGACCUCUGGCUACGUGAGAACAUUGGAACAGUUACAAUCGAGCGGUAGUUUCAUAGGCAUUGUUUCCCCAAGCAGUCAGUGUCUGAAAGUGUCACUGAUUGUGCAAGGAUAGCGCUUCAACGAUUCCUGUAGACCGUACACUCGGGCAGGAGCUAUGCCAAAGGGUCCCCAUGCCCCCUUAUAACCCCACAGUUUAAUGUGAAGCUCAAUGUAAUACAUUGGGUAAAAAAACCGAACAACUGUUAACAAUGGAUAUCUUGGUUCUC